rnacentral:rRNA from 1 species
AUUGAACGCUGGCGGAAUGCUUUACACAUGCAAGUCGGACGGUAGCACAGAGAGCUUGCUCUUGGGUGACGAGUGGCGGACGGGUGAGUAAUGUCUGGGGAUCUGCCCGAUAGAGGGGGAUAACCACUGGAAACGGUGGCUAAUACCGCAUAACGUCGCAAGACCGAAGAGGGGGACCUUCGGGCCUCUCACUAUCGGAUGAACCCAGAUGGGAUUAGCUAGUAGGCGGGGUAAUGGCCCACCUAGGCGACGAUCCCUAGCUGGUCUGAGAGGAUGACCAGCCACACUGGAACUGCGACACGGUCCAGACUCCUACGGGAGGCAGCAGUGGGGAAUAUUGCACAAUGGGCGCAAGCCUGAUGCAGCCAUGCCGCGUGUAUGAAGAAGGCCUUCGGGUUGUAAAGUACUUUCAGCGGGGAGGAAGGCGGUGAGGUUAAUAACCUUGCCGAUUGACGUUACCCGCAGAAGAAGCACCGGCUAACUCCGUGCCAGCCGCCGCCGUAA